UGCAAGUCGAGCGAGAAGACGUAGCAAUACGUUUGUAAAGCGGCGAACGGGUGAGGAAUACAUGGGUAACCUACCCUUGAGUGGGGAAUAACUAGCCGAAAGGUUAGCUACAUACCGCGUACGCUUCUUGGACUUCGGUUCAGGGAGGAAAGCGCUACCGUGGGUAGCGCGCUCUUGGAUGGGCUCAUGUCCUAUCAGCUUGUUGGUGAGGUAACGGCUCACCAAGGCUUCGACGGGUAGCUGGUCUGAGAGGACGAUCAGCCACACUGGCACUGCGACACGGGCCAGACUCCUACGGGAGGCAGCAGUAAGGAAUAUUGCGCAAUGGGCGAAAGCCUGACGCAGCGACGCCGCGUGGGGGAUGAAGGUCUUCGGAUUGUAAACCCCUUUCGGGAGGGAAGAUGGAAUGGGGUAACCCAUUCGGACGGUACCUCCAGAAGCAGCCACGGCUAACUUCGUGCCAGCAGCCGCGGUAAUACGAAGGUGGCAAGCGUUAUUCGGAUUUACUGGGCGUACAGGGAGCGUAGGCGGUUCGGUAAGCCCUUUGUGAAAUCUUCAGGCUUAACCUGGAACAGUCGGAGGGGACUGCCGGGCUAGAGGACGGGAGAGAAGCGC
rnacentral:rRNA from 1 species